rnacentral:tRNA from 4 species
UGGGGCGUAGCUUAGUUGGUAAAGCAGCGGUUUUUGGUACCGAAGAGCGGAGGUUCGAGUCCUCCCGCCCCAGCCA